rnacentral:rRNA from 1 species
CCCUUAGAUGUUCUGGGCUGCACGCGCGCUACACUGAUGCAUUCAACGAGCUUUCGAUCUUGCCCGAGAGGGUUGGAUAAUCUUUUUAAAGUGCAUCGUGAUGGGGAUAGAUUAUUGCAAUUAUUAAUCUUCAACGAGGAAUUCCCAGUAAGCGCGAGUCAUAAGCUCGCGUUGAUUACGUCCCUGCCCUUUGUACACACCGCCCGUCGCUACUACCGAUUGAACGGUUUAGUGAGGGCCUCGGAUUGGUCUCGGCCCGCUCUUUACCGGGCGGCGCCGUUGGUCGAGAAGACGCUCGAACUUGAUCGUUUAGAGGAAGUAAAAGUCGUAACA